rnacentral:lncRNA from 1 species
GGGGGGUGUAGAAAUAUAUGGAAAGAAUCAGAAGUUAGAAAUAUAUGGAAAGAAUCAGAAGUUGACCGCAUAUCUCUAAAAUUAUUACUGUAUAUUUUUAAAAUUUAUCACUGCAUAUUUCUAUAAGUUAUUACUACAUAUCUUUAGGAUUUAUUGUUAUAAUUUUUAGAAGUUAUUACUAUUGAUUGUGUAGUCAUUUACUUCUAAAAUUAGGAAGAGAAAAUAGAAAUGUAAAUCUUUAUAAAUUCAGUAUUUUGUACCAACUAAUUAUACCAAAAGAUAAAGAGGAAAAAAUCUUCCUUUCCUGUCUGCGUUCAAAUUGUAUUAUAGCCAUACGAGACCCAUGUUUGUUGAUAAAAUAGACGUUUCUCCUUUGCCUGAAG